CUCUUUGUACAGAAUUAAGAAUAUGCACUGUACUAAGUGCUCAAAUAGUUGAUAUUUUAGUUGUGAUAGUCAUUGUUGUGCAGUUGCUUUUUAAAAAGAAAUAUUUCAUGUUCAUAAAUAAAUUCCAAUUGUUUUUUUAAAAUAUUCAGAGAUUUAUAAAAACUUACAAAGGCAUAAAUUCAUCUACUUCGUAACAAUGCUCGAAACAUACAUAAAUGAGUUCAUGCAUUUGUACUGUUCUUUUUUGAAAAUAACCGAAAUGGUUGCAACUCUCAACUACCAUCCUGGCUUAAUAGUCACUUAGGAUAUCCAAACAGCAAAUAGAAUGCCCCAAGAAAGAAUCAAACUCUAUUAUACCGUUCCGGAAAAUGUUCCGGAACGUACUCAGCCUUGGCUAUAACAGCAUCGUUUUCGUGAUCGAGAUAAUGGAUUUACAGCCCUAAAAAUCUUGUAGCAAGUCUGCCAACAAGCCGUCAAGAAGUUGUUAACAACUUGUAACUUGAUAUUAUCAGAAUUGUUGCAAGGUUGUUCCAACACGACCGAUGCAGUCAGAAUACAUUAUAGCAAUAUUGUUACAACCUCCUUAUAACAACCUUGUAACAAGUUGUUUAAACUUGUUAUAACAACUAGGAAGGAGCAUUGCAAACACAACUUGUGUUUGAAGAGUUUUUUUGUACAUGGAAAUCUCAAUUGCAAAUUUUAUAGGCUUUACCAGGAGCAGGGCCAGGUCUAAGAAAAUGUAUCAAAUUUACACUCAAAACCAAUCUCGAAACCAGAGCCCGCAAUCCUCUAGAGGAUUGCGGGCUCUGGUUUCGAGAUUGACUCAAAACUUCCAUGUACAGGGUGUCUAAAAAAACGCUAUGGAAAUUCGACAGGCUGUCGUGCAUCAUAAACGUGGCUAAACAAUCAAUUUUUACAUAGGAAGAAAGAACAGUCAUUUGGCUUUUCAAUGAUACUCUUUUUAAUUCGUAACGAUGAGAAAUGGCCACAUACUCGUCAAAUAAAAAUUGCCGCUCGAAAUCACAUUCUUUCACCGUUGGGAUCUGCAUGGAAAACGAAACAUAAACAAUUCCCAAGAGGGAAUUAAAAUUGAAUGUUAAAUUAUCUAAAAUGUGAGAGAAUAAGAACGUCCAUUGCAUUAUUGCAUUAAACAUGGUUCAAACCUUGCAGCAGGCUCGCGUUGCUUUUGGAUUGGUUAACUUUGC
rnacentral:lncRNA from 1 species